rnacentral:lncRNA from 1 species
UGAAGGGCGGGAGAGAGGGCCCUUUGAUUCUGGGAAGGGCCAUUUCAGGACGUGCUGGCCGCCCUCUGCAGCGGCCGAAGCCUUCCUCUGGCGGGCUGAGCUCCAGAUGCUGACGGGUGAAGGCAGGAGUAGGUGCCUGGCAAAGGAAGCUUUAGUGGAUGGUUAGUGGUGUGUGAGAACCUCUGCCUCUGGUCAUCUCUAGACGCAGGAAAGGGGAGAGACAGCCCUGGGUGUCUACCCAAAACAUCCUGGCAAGAUGAUGCCUAGGAAUAGGUAGGGGACCUGGUGUCGUGGAUUUUGACUGGCUUGCAUAGCAUCUGCCUGUUAGUCCCUCUCUACAGCUUUCUAUCUCUAGCGGAAGCCAUAAGAAUUUGUUUCAACUUUUCAGCUCAUGUCUAUAAAUAAAUACUAAGCUAUCUCAAAUCUAAGGUGAUUGAUAAAUACUUUACAUAGGUUGAAAAGCAGCUCUUGUGUCUACAGAUACCUGCACGCCUGGUGGCUUUUCUUCCUACUCUGUACAUAGUAAACUGCCUUGGACAGGGCAGUACACGAGCGUCUAGGCAAGUUUCCUUUUCUGUCUUGUGUUUUCUUUGAGACAGGAUCUCGCCAUAACCCAGGAUGGCCUCAAGCUCAUGGCGGUUUCUCUGCCUCGGCCUUUAGGAUGCUAGGAUCGCAGGUGCACAUAGCAAUGCCCAGUUCACUCAGCGCAUUCCAGUGGCUACCUGUGGUGGGCAUAAACAAUGUGGCCGACUGGCUGGUGUAUCACUAGCAGCCCAUAGGGCCGAGGGGUGCGGCUUGGUGGAACUCCUGGGGAGCAUGUGAGGUCCUAGGUUUGAUCCUUACCACCGGAAAAAGUAAAAGUCAGUCUUGGGAUUUAAUAAAGUCCGAGGCUGACUAGAACCCUGUAAUUUCCCUCUCUCAGUAGUUAACAUAACAGCAUUUGGUGUUUCCUACAUCCCCUCUG